UGGGGAAUCUUGGACAAUGGGCGCAAGCCUGAUCCAGCGACGCCGCGUGGGUGAUGAAGGCCCUCGGGUUGUAAAGCCCUUUAUCAGGGAAGAAGUUCUGACGGUACCUGAUGAAUCAGCAUCGGCUAACUCCGUGCCAGCAGCCGCGGUAAGACGGAGGAUGCAAGCGUUAUCCGGAAUUAUUGGGCGUAAAGCGUCUGCAGGUGGCCGUUCAAGUCUGCUGUUAAAGCUCGGGGCUCAACUCCGAAUCGGCAGUGGAAACUGGAUAGCUAGAGUGCGGUAGGGGUAGAGGGAAUUCCCAGUGUAGCGGUGAAAUGCGUAGAUAUUGGGAAGAACACCAGUGGCGAAGGCGCUCUACUGGGCCGCAACUGACACUGAGGGACGAAAGCUAGGGGAGCGAAUGGGAUUAGAUACCCCCGU
rnacentral:rRNA from 1 species